rnacentral:rRNA from 1 species
GACGAACGCUGGCGGCGCGCUUCACACAUGCAAGUCGAACGAGAAACCCGGGCUUGCCCGGGUGGACAGUGGCGAACGGGUGAGUAACACGUGAGCAACCUGCCCCGAAGACGGGAAUAAGCCGGGGAAACCUGGUCUAAUGCCCGAUGCCCUCACCGGACCGCAUGAUCCGGUGAGGAAAGCUCCGGUGCUUCGGGAUGGGCUCGCGGCCUAUCAGCUUGUUGGUGGGGUCACGGCCCACCAAGGCGACGACGGGUAGCUGGUCUGAGAGGAUGUCCAGCCACACUGGGACUGAGACACGGCCCAGACUCCUACGGGAGGCAGCAGUGGGGAAUCUUGCGCAAUGGGCGAAAGCCUGACGCAGCGACGCCGCGUGCGGGAUGAAGGCCUUCGGGUUGUAAACCGCUUUCAGCAGGGACGAAAUUGACGGUACCUGCAGAAGAAGCCCCGGCCAACUACGUGCCAGCAGCCGCGGUAACAC